rnacentral:rRNA from 1 species
UGGGGAAUAUUGCACAAUGGGCGAAAGCCUGAUGCAGCGACGCCGCGUGAGGGAUGACGGCCUUCGGGUUGUAAACCUCUUUCAGUAGGGACGAAGCGCAAGUGACGGUACCUGCAGAAGAAGCACCGGCUAACUACGUGCCAGCAGCCGCGGUAAUACGUAGGGUGCGAGCGUUGUCCGGAAUUACUGGGCGUAAAGAGCUCGUAGGCGGUUUGUCACGUCGUCUGUGAAAUCCUAGGGCUUAACCCUGGACGUGCAGGCGAUACGGGCUGACUUGAGUACUACAGGGGAGACUGGAAUUUCUGGUGUAGCGGUGGAAUGCACGGAUAUCAGGAAGAACACCGAUGGCGAAGGCAGGUCUCUGGGUAGUAACUGACGCUGAGGAGCGAAAGCAUGGGUAGAGAACAGG